AGUACAACUGAUUUUAAUGAGCCAAACUGCCUUUUAUGCACAGACUCCAGCAUGGGGUCUCCAUUAUAUUCAACACAAGUCCCUCCCAGGAAUCUCUGGACCUGGGAGAUAAUUGAGUUAAAGACCGGUAAACUAAUUAUCACCCAGGAGCAGGGAGUACAACAGAAAAUAUAAAAACAUAAAAGUACCCCAAAACAUAAUAAAAAC